rnacentral:rRNA from 1 species
CCUACGGGAGGCAGCAGUAGGGAAUAUUGCUCAAUGGGGGAAACCCUGAAGCAGCAACGCCGCGUGGAGGAUGAAGGUUUUCGGAUUGUAAACUCCUUUUGUUAGAGAAGAUAAUGACGGUAUCUAACGAAUAAGCACCGGCUAACUCCGUGCCAGCAGCCGCGGUAAUACGGAGGGUGCAAGCGUUAAGAGGAAGCAAUGGUCGUAAAGAGCGCGUAGGCGGGAUGGCAAGUCUGAUGUGAAAUCCUAUGGCUUAACCAUAGGACUGCAGUUGAAACUGGUAUUCUAGAGUAUUGGAGAGGUAGGUGGAAUUCUUGGUGUAGGGGUAAAAUCCGUAGAGAUUAAGAGGAAUACUCAUUGCGAAGGCGACCUGCUAGAACAUAACUGACGCUGAGGCGCGAAAGCGUGGGGAGCAAACAGGAUUAGAUACCCUUGUAGUC